UCCCUACUUGUUGUAAGGCAGUCCCGUAUGAAUAUUCAACAUACGGCAGGGGUUGCGCUCGUUACGGCACUUAAGCCGACAUCUCACGACACGAGCUGACGACAGCCAUGCAGCAGCUGUGUACCACCCUCGAAGGCUGCCCUGCUUUCACAAGGCGUGCAGGUACAUGUCAAAUCCAGGUAAGGUCCUUCGCUUCGUAUCGAAUUAAACCACAUGCUCCACCGGUUGUGCGCUCCCCCGUCAAUUCCUUUGAGUUUUAACCUUGCGGCCGUACUACCCAGGCGGGAUACUUAACGCGUUAGCUUACGCCAGCCCAGAAACCUGGACCAGCUAGUAUCCAAAGUUUACGGCUUGGACUAC
rnacentral:misc_RNA from 1 species